rnacentral:tRNA from 1 species
CAGAAAAUAGUUUAGAUUAGAAUGCUGGCUUUGGGUGUCAGUGGUGGGAGUUAAAGUCUCUCUUUUCCGG